UACAUUAAUUUUCAAUGAUUCUAAUUUCAAUAGGUCCUUGGUCAAUUGACCGGCGGAGACGGGCGUUGCGAGGCAUCCAGUGAGGUAACGCGACCGAUCCCGGAGAAGCUGGCGGGAGCCCCGGGGAGAGUUCUCUUUUCUUUGUGAGGGGCAGGGUGCCCUGGAAUGGGUCGGCCCCGAGAGAGGGGCCCAAGACCUGGAAUGCAGUUUCGGGGGCGUCCGGUGAGCUUUCCCUGGCCCUUGAAAAUCCGGAGGAGAGGGUGUAAAUCUCACGCCGGGCCGUACCCAUGUCUUCAGCAGGUCUCCAAGGUGAACAGCCUCU
rnacentral:ncRNA from 1 species